CCGACACCGUGGCUUGAAGGAUCAGUUUGGCCACUGUUUUCAAGUUACUGUCUUGGGAGUUAAUUUCAAGGGGAAUGCUUCAUGCAACUAUCUUGUCUUCAUCCCUUUACCAAAUGACAAUGCAUCCCUUUAUUAAAAUGCUGGCGGAAAUCUACAGCACUGAUGGGAACAUGAACUUGGUGGACUUCAUGCACAGCGAAUCCUCGUCUCAAAGGAGUGCACGAUGACCACUGAGCAUGCGCGGUGCAUCGCAAACCCAGUGUUGUAAGUCUUGCCUAUGAGAGACUUUUCCGUCAGCCUUUGGACUCCUUCAGAGAGGAAUGGCCAUGAUUGCCUGUCAUCGGAUGGCGAGUUGAACGGGACGGUCCCGUCACAGAAGGUGUCACUGAAGCCACUUGUGGACAUCAGAUUGAGAGUGGACACUGCAGCCUCUCCAAUGAGCAGUAAGACAGGAAGUCCAUCAUCAAGCCAGGUGUCAAACUGUUUAAGACCCGCCCCAAUAAAUGCCUUAAAGACACAGUACAUCUCUAUGUAGAGGAACCUGCAGCAGGAGACUUCUUAAAAAAAAAA
rnacentral:lncRNA from 1 species